ACUCCUACGGGAGGCAGCAGUGGGGAAUAUUGCACAAUGGGCGCAAGCCUGAUGCAGCCAUGCCGCGUGUAUGAAGAAGGCCUUCGGGUUGUAAAGUACUUUCAGCAGUGAGGAAGGUGGGUAUGUUAAUAGCAUGCAUUCAUUUGACGUUAGCUGCAGAAGAAGCACCGGCUAACUCCGUGCCAGCAGCCGCGGUAAUACGGAGGGUGCGAGCGUUAAUCGGAAUUACUGGGCGUAAAGCGCAUGCAGGUGGUUUGUUAAGUCAGAUGUGAAAG
rnacentral:rRNA from 1 species